AGCAGAUCUCUACCUGGCCUAAGCUGCUGUGGCUUUACUGACUUUGAAAAUGUCAGGAUGAAGAAUAGAUGUGGGCUCCUGAAGAAUAAACAUGUGGAAGAAACCUCUUUCCCUGAGGACAACAGGCUUCAGAGCUGGGGGAGAAGCAGCAGAUUUAGAGAAGCUUUCAAGACCACCUCACAAGGAACCCCAUGAAGUUCAAAAAAGAGAAUUGCAAAGUCCUGUACCAGGGGAAGAACAACCCCAGGCACCAGACCAUUAAGAUUAGCUCAGCUGGUGAGAGCAUGGUGCUGAUAACACCAAUUGUGGGUUUACUACCUG